AUUGAACGCUGGCGGCAGGCCUAACACAUGCAAGUCGAGCGAGCGGCGGACGGGUGAGUAAUGUAUGGGGACUGCCCGAUAGAGGGGGAUAACUACUGGAAACGGUGGCUAACACCGCAUACUCUGGGAGACCCCAUAUGGGGUUUGCUAGUAGGGGGGGUAAAGUCUCACCUAGACGACGAUCUCUAGCUGGUCUGAGAGGAUUAUCAGCCACACUGGGACUGUGACACGGCCCAGACUCCUACGGAGGAAGCAGUGGGGAAUAUUGCACAAUGGGCGCAAGCCUGAUGCAGCCAUGCCGCGUGUAUGAAGAAGGCCUUAGGGUUGUAAAGUACUUUCAGCGGGGAGGCGUUACCCGCAGAAGAAGCACCGGCUAACUCCGUGCCAGCAGCCGCGGUAAUUC
rnacentral:rRNA from 1 species